UACGAGGGGAGCAAGCGUUGUUCGGAUUUACUGGGCGUAAAGGGCGCGUAGGCGGCCCUGCAAGUCAGUUGUGAAAUCUCCGGGCUUAACCCGGAAAGGUCAACUGAUACUGCAGGGCUAGAGUGCAGAAGGGGCAACUGGAAUUCUCGGUGUAGCGGUGAAAUGCGUAGAUAUUGGGAGGAACACCAGUGGCGAAGGCGGCUCACUGGACCGGUACUGACGCUGAUGCGCGAAAGCGUGGGGAGCAAACGGG
rnacentral:rRNA from 1 species